UACGUAGGGGGCUAGCGUUGUUCGGAAUCACUGGGCGUAAAGCGCACGUAGGCGGAUCUUUAAGUCAGGGGUGAAAUCCCGAGGCUCAACCUCGGAACUGCCUUUGAUACUGGGGAUCUCGAGUCUGGGAGAGGUGAGUGGAACUGCGAGUGUAGAGGUGAAAUUCGUAGAUAUUCGCAAGAACACCAGUGGCGAAGGCGGCUCACUGGCCCGGAACUGACGCUGAGGUGCGAAAGCGUGGGGAGCAAACAGG
rnacentral:rRNA from 1 species